CCUACGGGAGGCUGCAGUAAGGAAUAUUGGUCAAUGGAGGCAACUCUGAACCAGCCAUGCCGCGUGCAGGAAGACGGCCUAUGGGUUGUAAACUGCUUUUGAAUGGGAGAUAGUACCAUUAGAAUAAGCAUCGGCUAACUUCGUGCCAGCAGCCGCGGUAAGACGAAGGAUGCAAGCGUUAUCCGGAUUCAUUGGGUUUAAAGGGUGCGUAGGCGGACUGAUAAGUCAGUGGUGAAAUCUCUCAGCUUAACUGAGAAACUGCCAUUGAUACUGUUAGUCUAGAGUAUAGAUGACGUUGGCGGAAUAUGACAUGUAGUGGUGAAAUACUUAGAUAUGUCAUAGAACACCGAUUGCGAAGGCAGCUAACGAAUAUAACUGACGCUGAGGCACGAAAGUGCGGGGAUCAAACAGGAUUAGAUACCCUUGUAGUC
rnacentral:rRNA from 1 species